rnacentral:rRNA from 1 species
AUGACUGGUACAAUUGGUUUCUCCCUUCUGACGAAGCAUGAUGUCAUUAAUUUGGUGUCGUGGGGAAUUAGGACUGUUACUUUGAAAAAAUUAGAGUGUUUAAAGCAAGCAUUAGCUUGAAUACAUUAGCAUGGAAUAAUGAAAUAGGACGUUUGAUCCUAUUUCGUUGGUUUCUAGGAUCGACGUAAUGAUUAAUAGGGAUAGUUGGGGGCAUUAGUAUUCAAUUGUCAGAGGUGAAAUUCUUGGAUUUAUUGAAGACUAACUACUGCGAAAGCAUUUGCCAAGGAUGUUUUCAUUAAUCAAGAACGAAAGUUAGGGGAUCGAAGACGAUCAGAUACCGUCGUAGUCUUAACCAUAAACUAUGCCGACUAGGGAUCGGAUGAUGUUAAUUUUUUAAUGACUCAUUCGGCGCCUUACG